GUCGUACUGGUAGCAGCAUGAAUUUGGACAAGCCUUACAAGAUCGUUAGGGAAACUAGGGUUAGUACAUGUGUGAGCAACGGUGAAGAAGCUGAUUCCGAAAAAAAAAAUCUUCUCUAUAUGUUUUUGAAAAUCUGCAUCUAGAAAAUUAUAUUUUGCUCUUGGUCAUGAUCAAGCAAAGUGAAGGAUGAAUCUUAAUGAUUCAUGUUAUUUGGCUCUGGGACAUUUAUAUUGUAUUUGCAACCAGUAAAUCAUAAGGUAUAAUUCAUAGAUUUUUUGCUAGUCUAAGAUCCCAGUAAUACACCAGCUUUUAAAACACUUCAUCCCAAACAUUUUUGUAUAGUAUUUUUGACAAUCAUCAUCGGUUUUGCAUCCAAU
rnacentral:lncRNA from 1 species